rnacentral:rRNA from 1 species
UGGGGAAUAUUGCACAAUGGGCGAAAGCCUGAUGCAGCAACGCCGCGUGAGCGAAGAAGGUCUUCGGAUCGUAAAGCUCUGUCCUUGGGGAAGAUAAUGACGGUACCCAAGGAGGAAGCCCCGGCUAACUACGUGCCAGCAGCCGCGGUAAUACGUAGGGGGCAAGCGUUAUCCGGAAUUAUUGGGCGUAAAGAGUGCGUAGGUGGUUACCUAAGCAGGGGUGAAAGGCACUGGCUUAACCAAUGUCGGCCCUCUGAACUGGGCUACUUGAGUGCAGGAGAGGAAAGCGGAAUUCCUAGUGUAGCGGUGAAAUGCGUAGAUAUUAGGAGGAACACCAGUGGCGAAGGCGGCUUUCUGGACUGAAACUGACACUGAGGCACGAAAAGUGUGGGGAGCAAACAGGAUUAGAUACC